CAGCACCUCAAGUGGUCAGGAUGAUUAUUGGGCCUAAAGCAUCCGUAGCCUGCUUUGUAAGUUUUCGGUUAAAUCCAUACGCUUAACGUAUGGGCUGCCGGGAAUACUGCAAAGCUAGGGAGUGGGAGAGGUAGACGGUACUCGGUAGGAAGGGGUAAAAUCCUUUGAUCUAUUGAUGACCACCUGUGGCGAAGGCGGUCUACCAGAACACGUCCGACGGUGAGGGAUGAAAGCUGGGGGAGCAAACCGGAUUAGAUACCCGAGUAGUCC
rnacentral:rRNA from 1 species